GAGUGUUCAACAGAACAAGCUUUUAUUCAAUGGCCAAAGAAUGGAGAAGUGGGAAAUAUGUUCACAAAUCGACUUUUCAGCUCUUGGAGCAAAUCACUUUUGCUGCAGGAUGGAGAACAAGUUAAAGAAGGCCAGUUAGAAGGUGUGGCGAUGAUCCUGUCAAGAGAUGAUGUGGCCUAAAUCAGAGCAUGGCAAAGGGACUGAUGAAAAAUAGACUUGUGGUAAGGACCAAAUACAAGGAAGGAAGAGAUGUCAACAGGGAUGCCUGGAUGCUAAUGGAGAUGGGGACACUUUCCAAAGGAUGGACUGGAGGGGAACACUUGCUCCAUUGUUUUCAUAAUGCUUGUUUUGGUUUUUUUAUUUCAGUCAUCCUUAAGCAAUUGUUCUA
rnacentral:lncRNA from 1 species